rnacentral:rRNA from 1 species
AACUAACGCUGGCGGCGUGCCUAACACAUGCAAGUCGCACGAGAAAGUUGGCUUCGGCCGAUGAGUAAAGUGGCGCACGGGUGAGUAAUGCGUGGAUAAUCUACCCUUUAGUUAGGAAUAACGUACCGAAAGGUGCGCUAAUACCGGGUAAUACUGAGCAACUACUGUUGUUUAGUCAAAGAAGGCUUCUGUUUACAUGCUUUUGCUUUGGGAUGAGUCCGCGUACCAUUAGCUAGUUGGUGGGGUAAUGGCCUACCAAGGCUACGAUGGUUAGCUGGUCUGAGAGGAUGAUCAGCCACACUGGAACUGAGACACGGUCCAGACUCCUACGGGAGGCAGCAGUGAGGAAUAUUGCGCAAUGGGGGCAACCCUGACGCAGCAACGCCGCGUGAGUGAGGAAGGUUUUCGGACCGUAAAGCUCUGUCGAGCGGGGAAGAAAUGUAUCAUGGCUAAUAUCCAUGAUACUUGACGGUACCGCUAAAGGAAGCACCGGCUAACUCCG